rnacentral:tRNA from 1 species
GCCCUCGUAGCUCAGCUGGAUAGAGCAGCGGACUUCUAAUCCGCCGGUCGCAGGUUCGAAUCCUGCCGAGGGCGCCA